CCCAGCUUUGGGUUUUGAAUUAUGGACUCAGUCCAUUUUUCUGCAGUGUAUACUAUGUGUAUAUCAGACCCCUUUUCUUCCUGCGUUAUUGUAUAUCUGGUAUAUACAUGAUCAUAUAUUGGUCAUAUAUGCACAUAUUUUAGUCCUCCACCUGUAUAAUCAGUUUUCUUUUUCUCAUAUCUUGCCAAAUAUUUGUGUAUAUCCGCUAUAUACAUGCAUGUACAACCUUGUUUCUUGUCUCUUAGUGCAUUUUUUGGAACUUUGGUUGAGGCUCGGACCCAAAGAUGAUGUAGGCCUCUUUGACCCAUUCAAAAAUGCGGAAAAUGGAGUCUAAUGGACUCGAAUGAAUUCAC
rnacentral:lncRNA from 1 species